UCUUCUGUAGCAAAAUAUGUCACGUGAUUAGAAUUUCCGCCAAAGCCAAGCGUUAUAUUGUGUCACGUGAUGGGAGGAUAAUGUGACGUCACAUAUUCUUCUCUUGCAGAAAUUCGCUGCAAGGGAAUUGAGCCACUUUUAGAUAGAGGGUGUAUCCCUACGUGUGAAAUUAACAUUUAAUGUUUAAAUAUUUAAAAUGCUUGUGUUACGAAGUUUAAAAAAUGCAUAGGUUAAUGCAAGACCUUCGGAACAUUUAACAAACGGAUCUUCCUGCAGUUAAAUUUGCAUAGCCAGUCGUUUAUACGUCGACAAUCAUGUAUUCAUGCACAUAUGAGCUGAGUUUCAAUUUUUACUGGUGUUACAUAACAAUUACUGAUACUUACUAUAACUGAUAUCAUCGUGUUUCACAUAUCUAUUUCCAUUUAAUCAUAUUGGUACUUUUAUUAAUCAUAUUAGUAUUUUUAUUAAAAUUUAUUAUAUGAUAUUAUAGAUAUUUAAUCAUUAUGAAUUAAUUUUCUUUUUAAAUUUUUUUAGAAAUAUUAUUCUUAUAUUGUUGAAAACAAUUUAAUAUAUUUUUUUUAAGAAUUAUGUAUAAGUAAUGAACCAAAUAUUAAGAAAUGUAAAGAAAAAUAUAAUUAAAAAGGAUUAAGAAAGAAAACAUAUAUUUACAUUUGUUGUAUAAAACAA